GGUAUAAUAGCUCAGGGGGCAGAGCGUGUCACGUCUUAGUGCCAAGGUCCGGGGUUCGGGUCCCUGUUAUGCCA
rnacentral:tRNA from 1 species